UUUUCAGUUCUUUGCUCCAGCAGGGUUUGUAUCAGUCACAGAGCAGCCAGGGCUCCAUGGUUCCCCCAUCCUGACCAUCCCCACAAAUCCUGGAGAAAUCUGCCUUCUACAAAUUUGCCUUUCAGAUGGAAAAUACCUGCUCUGGGGAGGCUUUCCUACCUUGUCCUCCAUUCUCUGCAUCCAUUCCCCAAGUCCCCUGAUCCAGGCAGGAGGGCUCAGCACCAGUGCUCAGCACCCUGAGCCAGGCAGGAAUGCCCAGCAGGGCUGGAGGUGUCUGCAGGACAGGAUGAGCUGGAUGCAGACCUUGGCCCUCAGCUCCAACCACAGGGUUUUUUCUCCUGAGAAGCUGAGAGGCUUCAGAGGGAAAGAAAAACAAUAAUUAUCUGCUGCUGCUGUGGAAUGCAACAGGUGCAUCUUUGAUGGGUCCGUGUAAGUUGUUUCUACUUAAAGACCAACCAUGGUCCAGCUGUGUGGGCUCUCUGAGAGUCACGGGUUUUUCUUAUCAUUCCAUUCCAUUCCAUUCCAUUCCAUUCCAUUCCAUUCCAUUCCAUUCCAUUCCAUUCCAUUCCAUUCCAUUCCACCUUUCUGUCUGUGUCAUUUUCUCUAUUCUUUUAGUAUAGCAUUUUUAAUAUAAUAUAAUAUCAUAAAAUAAU